rnacentral:rRNA from 1 species
CGCGUAGGCGGAUUGUACAGUCAGAUGUGAAAUUCCCGGGCUCAACCUGGGGGGCUGCAUUUGAUACGUAUGAUCUUGAGUGAGGAAGAGGGUCGUGGAAUUCCCAGUGUAGAGGUGAAAUUCGUAGAUAUUGGGAAGAACACCGGUGGCGAAGGCGGCGACCUGGUCCUUUACUGACGCUGAGGCGCGAAAGCGUGGGGAGCAAACA